UACGUAGGGUGCAAGCGUUGUUCGGAUUCAUUGGGCGUAAAGGGUGUGUAGGUGGCGCGCUAAGUCGGGUGUGAAAUUUCGGAGCUUAACUCCGAAACUGCAUUCGAUACUGGCGUGCUUGAGGACUGGAGAGGAGACUGGAAUUCGAUGGUGUAGCAGUGAAUGCGUAGAGAUCAUGAGGAAGACCAGUGGCGAAGGCGGGUCGUCUGGACAGUUCCUGACACUGAGACACGAAGGCCAGGGAGCAAACGGG
rnacentral:rRNA from 1 species